rnacentral:rRNA from 1 species
CCUACGGGAGGCAGCAGUGGGGAAUAUUGCACAAUGGGCGAAAGCCUGAUGCAGCAACGCCGCGUGAGCGAUGAAGGCCUUCGGGUCGUAAAGCUCUGUCCUCAAGGAAGAUAAUGACGGUACUUGAGGAGGAAGCCCCGGCUAACUACGUGCCAGCAGCCGCGGUAAUACGUAGGGGGCUAGCGUUAUCCGGAAUUACUGGGCGUAAAGGGUGCGUAGGUGGUUUCUUAAGUCAGAGGUGAAAGGCUACGGCUCAACCGUAGUAAGCCUUUGAAACUGGGAAACUUGAGUGCAGGAGAGGAGAGUGGAAUUCCUAGUGUAGCGGUGAAAUGCGUAGAUAUUAGGAGGAACACCAGUUGCGAAGGCGGCUCUCUGGACUGUAACUGACACUGAGGCACGAAAGCGUGGGGAGCAAACAGGAUUAGAUACCCCAGUAGUCC